rnacentral:lncRNA from 1 species
GAUGGCCCACAUGUUCACCACCGCCUCCCCUCCGCGUGUCGUGCUCGCCGGGCGCCGCCGCAGCCCACUUGCCGCCGCCUCCCCUUGCGUCUGCCUAAGAGGGAGUAAAGAGAGGGGGAGGAUUUGAGAGGGUAUAUUUGUCUUUUCACAUGUCCUUUUCUUUUUUCUUUUUCUUCUUUUCCUUCUUCCUCACGGUAGGUUAACAGUAGGGGUCAUACGACAGAUUCAAUUUUGAAAAGUGGAGUCAAAUCUGUAAAGUGAAAAAAUAAGAUCAAAUAUGUAGUUAGAUUUUAAAAUAGGGUCAGUAAUGCAAUAGCCCAAACUAAUAUGAUAAGGACAUAUACAAAGGCUAUUAUUAGUUGACUCUUUUUAUUGCCACACGAGUAAAUAUGAUGCAUAGAUGAAUGAAAAAAAUGAUUGUAAUGAACUGCAUGCCAACGGCCUAGAAUCGUCUCUUAGAUUUAUUUAAGGAAUGUCGUUACAUGGGAUAGAAUAAAAAGAAGUAAAAGUACUAAAAAAAUAUUUUGUUGUAUUAAUGAAGAAGCCAUACCUAACUAUAUUUUAGUACAUACGCUUAUAAACUAAGUUAAGUAAAUGUUGCUGAUAAAGAUGAGUAAAGAGUCAAUCUUAGAUUCUAUAUUUGAGCAUGCCCGGAGACAUUUCAUACUUGAAUAGUUGA